rnacentral:rRNA from 1 species
AUUGAACGCUAGCGGGAUGCCUUACACAUGCAAGUCGAACGGAGCGGCGAACGGGUGAGUAAUGUAUCGGAACGUGCCCAGUAGCGGGGGAUAACCACGCGAAAGCGUAGCUAAUACCGCAUACUAUUGGAGCGGCCGAUAUCGGACUAGCUAGUUGGUGGGGUAACGGCUCACCAAGGCGACGAUCCGUAGCUGGUUUGAGAGGACGACCAGCCACACUGGAACUGAGCAGCAGCCCAGACUCCUACGGGGGGCAGCAGUGGGGAAUGUUGGACAAUGGGGGAAACCCUGAUCCAGCCAUCCCGCGUGUGCGAUGAGGGCCUUCGGGUUGUAAAGCACUUUUGGCAGGGAGGCGGUACCUGCAGAAUAAGCACCGGCUAACUACGUGCCAGCAGCCGCGGUAAUUC